rnacentral:rRNA from 1 species
AUGAACGCUGGCGGCGUGCUUAACACAUGCAAGUCGAACGGUGAAAGAGAGCUUGCUCUCUGGAUCAGUGGCGAACGGGUGAGUAACACGUGAGCAAUCUGCCCUUGACUCUGGGAUAAGCGUUGGAAACGACGUCUAAUACCGGAUACGAGCUGUGAAGGCAUCUUCAACAGCUGGAAAGAACUUCGGUCAAGGAUGAGCUCGCGGCCUAUCAGCUAGUUGGUGAGGUAAUGGCUCACCAAGGCGUCGACGGGUAGCCGGCCUGGGAGGGUGACCGGCCACACUGGGACUGAGACACGGCCCAGACUCCUACGGGAGGCAGCAGUGGGGAAUAUUGCACAAUGGGCGCAAGCCUGAUGCAGCAACGCCGCGUGAGGGACGACGGCCUUCGGGUUGUAAACCUCUUUUAGCAGGGAAGAAGCGAAAGUGACGGUACCUGCAGAAAAAGCACCGGCUAACUACGU